rnacentral:rRNA from 1 species
UACGUAGGGGGCAAGCGUUGUCCGGAAUCAUUGGGCGUAAAGAGCGUGUAGGCGGCCCGAUAAGUCCGCUGUGAAAGUCCAGGGCUCAACCCUGGAAUGCCGGUGGAUACUGUCGGGCUCGAAUCCGGAAGAGGUGAGUGGAAUUCCUGGUGUAGCGGUGAAAUGCGCAGAUAUCAGGAGGAACACCGGCGGCGAAGGCGGCUCUCUGGACCGGUACUGACGCUGAGACGCGAAAGCGUGGGGAGCGAACAGG